UACGGGGGGGGCAAGCGUUGUUCGGAAUUACUGGGCGUAAAGGGCUCGUAGGCGGCCAACUAAGUCAUACGUGAAAUCCCUCGGCUUAACCGGGGAACUGCGUCUGAUACUGGAUGGCUUGAGUUCGGGAGAGGGAUGCGGAAUUCCAGGUGUAGCGGUGAAAUGCGUAGAUAUCUGGAGGAACACCGGUGGCGAAGGCGGCAUCCUGGACAGCACUUGACGCUGAGACGCGAAAGCGUGGGGAGCAAACAGG
rnacentral:rRNA from 1 species